rnacentral:rRNA from 1 species
UACGUAGGAGGCAAGCGUUGUCCGGAUUUAUUGGGCGUAAAGAGCGUGUAGGCGGCCGUACAGGUCAGCUGUGAAAACUCGAGGCUCAACCUCGAGACGUCGGUUGAAACCGUACGGCUAGAGUCCGGAAGAGGAGAGUGGAAUUCCCGGUGUAGCGGUGAAAUGCGCAGAUAUCGGGAAGAACACCCGUGGCGAAGGCGGCUCUCUGGGACGGUACUGACGCUGAGACGCGAAAGCGUGGGGAGCGAACAGG